rnacentral:rRNA from 1 species
UACGGAGGGGCUAGCGUUGUUCGAUUGAUCUGGGCGUAAAGCGCGCGUAGGCGGACCUGCAAGUCGGGGUGAAAGCCCGAGGCUCAACCUCGGAACUGCCUUCGAUACUGCGGGUCUCGAGUCCGGGAGAGGUGAGUGGAAUUCCUAGUGUAGAGGUGAAAUUCGUAGAUAUUAGGAAGAACACCAGUGGACGCGAAGGCGGCUCACUGGCCCGGUACUGACGCUGAGGCGACGAAAGGCGUGGGGAGCAAACAGG